UAUCCAUUCUCAUUGUCUAGCUUUUAGCUUACCACAGUCCUUUUAGAUUGACUUUAUAAAUCUCAUAUCUGAAAUCUAGGCACAUCCCUUUCAACUUUUCCUUUUGCAAUUUCAAAACAACUGAGAGGUUUUUCGGACACUGUUUUUCAUCAAACAUAGUUAUGAAGGGGUAGUUGUGUUCGGCAAUGAUACCAACUUGUAUACAAUUGAUUAUAGCUGUCUCCAAACAUAAGAUUGCGUGGCAAGAGGCAAUGAUGAUAGACUGAUUACAGUGUGCUAAUGAAACUAUAGAAGCGGAUUCGAGUUAAUAAACUUAGUACAGGUACUAAGCAACUAACCAAUGACAUGAGAAGUGCUUGAGUUGAUAAAUUUUCAACCUGAGCUUAAUAGAUGCACUUUUCAUUGAGGCGUUUUAUG
rnacentral:misc_RNA from 1 species